UCUGGACCCUAAAGAGAUAGCACAUGUGUGCUCAGUGCUUAGAGAGGGGGGUAUCAUCUGUAGCAAACAGGACCGGACUACAUUAACAUCGGGAGUACGGCGACGAGAAGAAUGGCACCGAAUUGGGGAUAUUUAUUUACUGGUCACUUAGAAGAAUUUUUAGAACUGAAGACAGUUUAUAGAAGACAACAAUGAAUAUGUUCAUCUGUGGACACAUCGCACAUAGAAGAAAAUCAGGAGAUGAAACGCUGUCAGCAGCCAGACUGGUGGCAGAAAAGCGGCCCUGGAGCUUUAAGGCCAGCAGCCUCCUAAUGAUGUACACGUGGCCAAACACAAUCCCCUUUACAGCUUGUGGCUGCGGAUAUCCAUCCCACG